rnacentral:rRNA from 1 species
UACGUAGGGGGCAAGCGUUGUCCGGAAUCAUUGGGCGUAAAGCGCGUGUAGGCGGCUCGAUAAGUCUGCUGUGAAAGUCCAGGGCUCAACCCUGGGAUGCCGGUGGAUACUGUCGGGCUAGAGUCCGGAAGAGGCGAGUGGAAUUCCCGGUGUAGCGGUGGGAUGCGCAGAUAUCAGGAGGAACACCAAUGGCGAAGGCAGCUCGCUGGGACGUGACUGACGCUGAGACGCGAAAGCGUGGGGAGCAAACAGG